AUGAAAACAGUAAAGCGUGGAGAAAAUGUAACUAUGGUGUGUAACCUUAACACCAAAAAGAAAAAUAAGUUAGUUUGGUACAGACAGAGUUUUGGAAAAUUGCCUCAGUUUAUAGCAAGACAUUACAGUAACACUUUGGGCUACACAUUUGCUGAGGGAUUUAAAGAUAGCCGCUUCAGUAUUACUGUAAAUGGCCAUAAGUUUGAUCUCUACAUUAAUGGAGCAAGAGAAGAUGAUGGAGGAGAAUAUUUCUGUGUAGAACUGGAGGGAAGUACACUAAAGUUCACAUCUGGAACACGUCUGCAAUUUGAAGAUAAAGAGAUGAAACUCUGUCCUACACCUGGAACGGUUAACAAGAACACAGAUUCUGUUACACUCCAGGGUUCAGACAGCAGCGACGGAAAAGGUUACAGUUGUACUGAUCAGAUGCAUGUGCUGUUCUGGCUCUCCAUUGUUAGAGUUGGAGUUCUUGCCUUCAUUAUAUUAUUAUUGUCUUUCCAAUAA